GACGAACGCUGGCGGCGUGCCUAAUACAUGCAAGUCGAGCGAGACUCUUCGGAGUCUAGCGGCGGACGGGUGAGUAACACGUGGGCAACCUGCCUGUAAGACUGGGAUAACACCGGGAAACCGGUGCUAAUACCGGAUAAUCCUUUUCCUCUCAUGAGGAAAAGCUGAAAGUCGGUUUCGGCUGACACUUACAGAUGGGCCCGCGGCGCAUUAGCUAGUUGGUGAGGUAACGGCUCACCAAGGCGACGAUGCGUAGCCGACCUGGGAGGGUGGUCGGCCACACUGGGACUGAGACACGGCCCAGAAUCCUACGGGAGGCAGCAGUAGGGAAUCUUCCACAAUGGACGAAAGUCUGAUGGAGCAACGCCGCGUGAGCGAUGAAGGCCUUCGGGUCGUAAAGCUCUGUUGUUAGGGAAGAACAAGUACCGGAGUAACUGCCGGUACCUUGACGGUACCUAACCAGAAAGCCACGGCUAACUACGUGCCAGCAGCCGCCGUAA
rnacentral:rRNA from 1 species